rnacentral:lncRNA from 1 species
UAGGGGAGAUGGGGAGGUGUUGGUCAAAGUGUACAAAGUUGCAGUUAUGUAGGGUGAAUAAGUCUAGAGAUCUAAUGUACAACAUGAUGACUAUAGUUAAUAAUACUGUAUUGAAAACUGAAAAUAUGCUAAGAGAGUAGAUUUCAAGUGCUCUCAUCACACACACAAAAUGGUAACUGUGAGGAGAUGAUAUGUUAACUAGCUUACUAUAGUAAUCUUUUCACUAUGUAUACCAAAUCAUCAUGUUGUACACCUUAAAUAUGUACAAUUACUAUUAAUAAAAUAAAAUAUUUUUUAAAAUGUGGGUCCAGAAGAAUGUCAAAAAUUUCCCAGAGGCAAGUCUUCUUUUCUUUUUUUCUCCUUUUCCUUCCUUCCCUCCUUCUUUCCUUCCUUCCCUCUUUCCUUUCUUUCACAUGACUACAGUAUAGAAAAAUGCCUGAGAGAAUAUUUCAGGAGACAGAAGGAAAACAGAUGCUCCAAAAGACACAAGUCAAACUGUCCAAAGAGAAGAGAAUUGGCAAAGGGAAAUAAAACUAUACUCUCCUCUCAUUUCACAAACAUGAAAAGAGUUCUAGGUUGCUGUGAGCUGCUAGAAUGUGAAGACCUUGGCAUCUGGCCAACCACCUGAGACUUCUUGGUCCUGUCCUUUCUGGAAACAGCCAAAAGAACUGACCACUCCAAAGCCAACUUCCUGCCAUGUGUGAGAUUUUCCAGAAAGUGAGCCAUUUCAUGUUUUUAACCCUCCAAGCAAGUUGAUGGGUUCUGCACACCACCUCCUGAAAGGUAAGUUACCUGUGGCCCUUCCCAUCAAGAGGACCAACAUAUCGGGUGUGAAAAAUGACUUCUGCCACUGCCACCAUUUGAAUAAGAAUUCAGUUUACCAAAACUGGCUUUUUACCCAGCACUUUUAGUGUAAGGCCACUCAAGUUUUCCACAGCAGGCAUAUAGUGAGCACCCAGGAACUGCUUAGAAAGAAGAGAAGUAAAGAAUCCAAGGUCCUUAUGGUGUAGAAGAGCUGGACUGAUGGUUAACUUUCUAGCCGGGUGAAGGCAAUUAGGAAAAGUUAUUCCCAAAUAUGUUCCUUGUGGAUCAAUUGCUGGAAAAGUUGACAUGUGACCUGGUACCCUUCUAGGGUGAUUUAGCUACAGUGAGGAGGCAGAAUAGGAACCAGGGACAGUGAAAGCUCUUAUAAUAGUAUAGGGCCCAUGAUCUAGCUACCUGGGGAUGCCAAAGUCUGAGUGUUUAAAACUUCAUUCAGAAACAAUUUCUUUCUUUCAGAGAGAAAGUGGCUACAAAAUUGUAGAAGUGGAAUAUUAGUUUUCUGUCACCUCUAAAGCUUUUCCAAGUUGGCUAAUUAAAUUAUACCUUCCAACAGAGAAUACAAACACAAUUUCAGGUUCUAAUCUCUCAGUAAUCAAGCGUUCUAUUAUUAAUAUCCUCUUCCUUUUUCUGUGCUUAAUUGCUCAUUGUACUACAUGUGGCAUUGAUUAGCAGUAGGAAGAGUGUGUUCUGUUUUGUUGGCUUGUGAGAAAAGUGGCUAUAAAAAGGCAUUGAAUCAAAAAGCAAGUUCUAUCCAGCUGUGAUAUGGUGAGUGGGGGGUCUGUAUCUGAGGAAGCAAAGCCAGUCAG